GGAGUACGACUUUUCCAUUUCCAUUUAAAUGAAGAAUAUAUACAUGAUGCUAUUUUCUCUGGGUGCUUUUGUUGUUCUAGAUGCUGUUCUCUAGUCAGUUUUAGCGACUUCAAUGAGUCAACUACUGGAAUGGAGUCAAAAUGGUGUAUGACCACGGACCUUUCGAUGAAUGUGUACCUGACAGUUGAGCUGGGCGUGUGUGUUGUGUUGGCAGACAAAGCUCCAUGUCGGCAGGAUACUUCUGUACUGCCAACAUGAUUGUCCUUCUCCCCUGGCCUGCUUUCAGUCAUCAUUAAUCCAUCCACGUUACUUUCAAUCAUAAAACAUGAACAUGUAAUCAGUAGAAAAUUCAAAGGGAGAAUUGUCUGUAGAUCCCCUGCAUUGCAUUUAUCUCCAUUUCUUCUCUUUUGUUUUGACCAAAUAAAAGCUUAGCUCUUAUUAAAGCGAGGAAUUAAUAACACAAUGGGAUCCCAUGGUGACAAACAAAGGGUUGUAAUGGAGCUGUGAAGGCAGGCUGUGACUCAUAUAUGUCAUCUCCCCCGCUGGGCCCCCUGGUGUCUCAUGUAGCCUCCCACACCCUGGCCUCACCCUGGCCUCACCCUGGCCUCACCCUGGCCUCACCCUGGCCUCACCCUGGCCUCCUCCUGGCCUCACCCUGGCCUCACCCUGGCCUCCUCCUGGCCUCACCUUGGCCUCACCCUGGCCUCACCCUGGCCUCACCCUGGCCUCCUCCUGGCCUCACCCUGGCCUCAGUCUGGCCUCACCCUGGCCUCAGUCUGGCCUCCUCCUGGCCUCAGUCUGGCCUCACCCUGGCCUCAAAUUAUUUUUCCUCUGACUUUUUUCAUGUACACUUGUCAUCUUUGAUUGGUGCUCUUGUCAUUUCCAGGAGUUUUAUUUUUAAUAUUUUACUUUAUCAAUGACUUGCAAGUUAGUGAGUUCAGACGGCCCAGGUGAAGCCCAGAGCGGUGAGGUCAGAGGGCCCAGGUGAAGUGGGCCGGUCCUGUCGUUGGCCCUCGUCCUCAGUGAGGAAGGUGUUCAUGUCAGCUGAAGGAUGUGAGGGUGGCUGGCCAGUGUCCUCAGCGAAGCUGUAAAUCCAGGCUUACGCUGGAAAACAAAGCAUUACUCCCGCUUACAUAACCCGGGGGCUGAACUUGACAGAAUGUGCUGUGUUUCCUGUGAUUUAACCCACUCUCUUCAUUCACAGCGGCAGCACAGCUUGUAUUUUAGUUUGACCUCUUUUCCUGUUUCUCAUUCCCCCC